rnacentral:rRNA from 1 species
UACGUAGGGGGCGAGCGUUGUCCGGAAUUAUUGGGCGUAAAGAGCGUGUAGGCGGUUCGGUAAGUCUGCUGUGAAAACCCGGGGCUCAACCCCGGGCGUGCAGCGGAUACUGCCGGGCUAGAGGGCGGUAGAGGCGAGUGGAAUUCCCGGUGUAGCGGUGAAAUGCGCAGAUAUCGGGAGGAACACCAGUAGCGAAGGCGGCUCGCUGGGCCGUUCCUGACGCUGAGACGCGAAAGCUAGGGGAGCGAACAGGAUUAGAUACCCUGGUAGUCCUAGCCGUAAACGAUGGGCACUAGGUGUGGGGGGAGUCGAAUCUCUCCGUGCCGCAGCCAACGCGUUAAGUGCCCCGCCUGGGGAGUACGGCCGCAAGGCUAAAACUCAAAAGAAUUGACGGGGGCCCGCACAAGCAGCGGAGCAUGUUCUUUAAUUCGAUGCAACGCGAAGAACCUUACCUGGGCUUGACAUGGCGCUGCAAGCGCACGGAAACGUGUGACCUUCGAGGGUGCGCCACAGGUGCUGCAUGGCUGUCGUCAGCUCGUG